rnacentral:lncRNA from 1 species
AUCUGGAUUUGAAGGACCUUGGACUCCCAACCCCCUUAUCUUCGACAACUCCUACUUCACGUGAGUUCUGUUUUUCUGCUGUCUUUUCUCAAUAUGUCUAGUUGCACUGAGCUACAAAAGUCAAGUGGAAUGCUGUUCGAUUAUGCAGGGUGCUUCUUGGUGGAGACCAGGAAGGUCUUCUAAUGCUUCCAAGUGACAAGGCUCUUCUGGAUGACCCUGUCUUCCGCCCUCUUGUGGAAAAAUAUGCUGCGGUGCGUGCCUUCAGUAAUUUUCUUUUCUUCUGCGUGCUUUUCCAUUACGUACAAGACUGAAACUGAUUGUUAAAUUUACCUUUAUGUUUUUCAGGAUGAAGAUGCCUUCUUUGCUGACUAUGCUGAAGCUCACAUGAGGCUCUCUGAGCUCGGGUAAUUUUCUUAUUACCACAUCAUUCGCAAUUACUUUGGGUUUCUUUUAAUGUUUUAUUCAACACAGAAAUGGCCUUGAAUACGAUUUGUUGCUGCAAUUUUGUAGGUUUGCCGAGGCCUAAGCAGAGUCGGGAGAACUACAAGGGAUGAUGCUGAUGCCUGCCCCGCCGUUGCUUUUGUUUUUUUGGAUGCCUCUUAGUUGCGAGGUUUUAGGCAGUUGGUAUUUUUCUUAUUGUUAUUGGGUGUUUAGGAAAGAAGUUGGGACUUCUGGUUCGGUUUGAACAAUGAAUGCUUCUAAAUUGGAUAGAAUGCUGUGGUAAUAAUCCUUGUAGAUUAAAUAAAGCCGUAAUUUUCACUUCACUGGUUUUUGUUCUUCAAUGCUUCAGGCCGCCUCGUUUCUAUUGGAAAAUGUGGUGGUUUGGUCGUAUCAAUGAGAGACUUACGUGCA